AGAGAGAGAGAUUUUGUUUCCUGAAGGCUGCUCUUGCCCUCAAUAUUGUAACAAAAGACUCUAACAAGAUCUAUACGAGUUAUGAGCCAGGAAUUGUAGAAAAAGUGCAAUAUAUAUAUAGGAAACACAUUAUAAAGUCAAUGAAUAACUGCUGAAUGAGUAUUUUGAGGACAAAUAGAAGAACCCAUAAGCAAAUCGAUGGGAAGCCUACCAGGCCACUCUGGAGAUGGAGUUUCACUGUUGUUACCCAGACUGGAGUGCAAUGGCACGAUCUUGGCUCACCGCAACCUCCGCCUUCUGAGUUCAAGCAAUUCUCCUGCCUCAGCCUCUUGUGUCUCCUGAGUAGCUGGGACUACAGGUGCGUACCACCAUGCCCAGCUAGUUUUUUGUAUUUUUAAUAGAGACAGGGUUUCACCAUGUUGACCAGGAUGGUCUCGAUCUCUUGACCUUGUGAUCCACCCGCCUCGGCCUCCCACAGUGCUGGGAUUAUAGGCGUGAGCCACUGCGCCUGGCCAGAAAACUUUCUUAAGUUCAUGAGGUAAUCAAUGUCUGAGCCAGAGUAAGACUUUAACAAUUUUAGCCCAAUAAUCCACUCAGCUUUUUGGGUUAGAAAUACAAGUGUUAAACUGUGACUGAAAAUGGGCACAUAUAUAUUGUAUCACAGUUAUGUAUAAGUAGUUAGGUAUAAAAAAUAUAUCAAGCCAAAUUGUUGAAGUGGGAUACCUCUGAAUAGUUUCAUAAAAUUAAGGUAGGAUUACAAUUUUAGGUGUCAGAACAGUCAUGACAAGGCUUGAAAUUCUAAAGAUCAGGAUAAAUGAUUUUUAUUCUGGAAAAUAAUUUUCUUUCCAGUUUUGUUAUAUUAUCUAGUAUCAAAGUCCUAGAUAUAAACCAGGUACACAGAAAAUAUUAAUACAUGUUAAAUUGAAAAAACUACCAUGGUCGGUAGUUUCAAAUAUUAGCCACUAACAAGAGAAGGUCUGUGUAAUUUACAGAAAAGAGAUAAGAAUGCAGGUAGGGAAGACAUAAUAAAGAGGAAUAAUUUGUAAAUCAUGACAAUUUAAAAAAAUAGGUGUUAUUUAGGUCUUUAUUAAUCUCUGCCAGUUCAAAGAAAUUUGAACUGAAAUCCGCAAAAUCACAAGCAAAAUCUAUUAGAGGAGCUUUUUAGGAGAAAACUAAAACUUAGAUGAAUUGUAAGCUUAAUAGCUGCUUUUUGGUAAAGGCAAAAAAUGUUCCUGUGUUAACCAAAUUUCCUUAUGACCAGUGGAACACAUCUGUAAGGUGGUUCCUAGGAUGGGAUGGGGAAAGUGAUGUCAAAAGCGUAGAAACCAAUCUCCUACCGGGUUCAAAUCACAGCAUGACACUGUUGACUAUGCUCAUAUAUGUGCACUCACCUAUUUAACUACAUUUUUACAUAGAGCGGGUUUUAUUUCCUAACUUAACAUUUGGUCUGAUUUUUCUACCACUGAUGUAUAUUUUCCUUACUCUCAAUAAAAAGUUAUUGUCAUAUUUUCUUCUUCUGUAUUCCCUUCUAUGUCUUAAAAUUUCUGGCUUCUGAUAUGCUUUUUAUUUACAUAUAAACCCAGGGUGUCUAAUCUUUUGGCUUCCCUGGGGCACACUGGAAGAAGAGUUGUCUUGGGCCACACAUAAAGUACACUAACGGUAACAAUAGCUGAUGAGCUUAAAAAAAAAAAUGUAAAAAAAAAAAAAAUCUCAUAAUGUUUGAAGAAAGUUUACAAAUUCAUGUUGCGCCACAUUCAAAGCUGUCUUGGGUCGCAUGCAGCUGGUGGGCACCAUGGUUUGGACAAGCUUAAAAUAAACCAUAGCAGUCUAUAGUUCUUUUAGUUUGAAUAAUAAUAAAAAAAUUAAGUGCAUUGUUACUCUUUCAUGUGUUUCAAUACUUGAGAAUAAAAGCUGGAUACAAUAAACGUAUCAACAGGUAAAAACAUAUGGACAAAUUCCUGAGUAUCAUAGCAUACACUGUGCCUGAUACACAGCAGGCUUACAAUAAUUGAUUGAAUAACUGGUUGAUUAGCAGAAUAAAUGACAGAGAGAAACAGGAAGAUUCUGGGCAUUAUGAGAGAGGCAGGAAUUUACCUCUAAAAAGUUCUUCUGGCACAUAACCAUACAGACUAAAUUCACUUGCUUUUCUGAAGGAAUACCAAACCUUCCAUUCAAAAACAGUAGCCGUAUUAAGAGAAGCUGUCAUAUCCCACACCAAAACUAGGCUAGGCAAGAAGAGAACUGUAUUUGAGAGAGGGAUUUCAGACAGACUUUGUUCUCAAUGCUAAAUGCAGCUGAAGUGUCAGAGUUCUAUAAAUAUUAUUUACAGAUAUACAAACGUGAUAAACAACAGAGUACUAGUGUCUCAAAACAGGAAAAGUUCAGCAACACAGGAUGGUGGAAAUACAGCUGAGUACACGAAGCAAGGUAUAAGUUGAAGACAUGUAUUAAGGCCCUAGAAAAUAAUAGUAUUUAACAAAUGUCACCCUGGGUUACUGAACUUCUAGUCCUCUGGAGGGACAUGAAAGGUGAUGGAAGUCUUACCUUUCUGUUUCCUACCAGCCUGGGUCAGCCACAUUGCUCCCAUCCAGCUCUCAAUUCCCACCCAGUUCACAGGAGUGUCACAAACCUGCCCUUAUUCUUUUAUUUUUUAAUCGCGGUAAAUUAUAUAUAACAUAAAAUUUGCCGUUUUAACUAUUUCCCCCACCCCCCCUUUUUUUUUGGAGUCUCCCACUGUCACCCAGGCUGUAGUGCAGUGGUGCGAUCUCGGCUCACUGCAAUCUCUGCCUCCUGGGUUCAAGAAGUUCUCCUGCCUCAGCCUCCCGAGUAGCUGGGACUAUAGGCGUGCACCACCAGGCCCAGCUAAUUUUUUUUUUUCUAUUUUUAGUAGAGAUGGGGUUUCACCAUGUUGGCCAGGAUGGUCUCCAUCUCCUGAUCUCAUUAUCUGCCUG